AUUCUUCUUCUAGGCCCUUGUUUCCAUCCUCCAGAGUGGGCAGGAUGUCCUCAGAAGGUGUCCGAAAAUAGUGCAUGGUCGUCGGACUGACCGUCGGGGAUCGGGAGGCCGUAAUUCUUCCAGAGAUUCAUCUUCACUCACUGUCUCAUCUUAAGAAAUGGCUGGGGAAAAGAAAUCUGCAGCUGCACAUAGACACUAUCUACUCUGUCCAGUUUGUUUGAGGACCCAAGAGUCUCUAUCCUGUCACCUGCGCAGAGUCUGCAUGAAGGAUAAGACACCACCACAGAUCCUAGAGGUGGUUGAAAAGGCCAAGAAAGAUGUGUGUGACCUCCUGAAGAAUGGACGGGCUUUUAGUUAUGCAGUCCUGAAGCAAAUCGUCUCAUCACCAAAUCCAAUCGAAGGAUUGAUUGAGGAGCUGAAAUACCAUCACUUGUUUGUGACAGGAGUCCCUCCUCCUCUGCCCAUUGGUAAUCCAAGGUUGGUCACCGAAACCCUUUCUGAAUGCCCUGGGGAGGCACCCGGAGAGACAGAGCCAUCUGAUGUGGAAUCUUGCGGCAGCAAUGAGCUUUUUCA